CAAAUCUGAAUCAAACUAAGAAAUAAGUUAAAACUUUCAACAACGGAUCUCUUGGUUCUGGCAUCGAUGAAGAACGCAGCGAAAUGCGAUAAGUAAUGUGAAUUGCAGAAUUCAGUGAAUCAUCGAAUCUUUGAACGCACAUUGCGCCCAUUAGUAUUCUAGUGGGCAUGCCUGUUCGAGCGUCAUUUCAACCCUUAAGCCUAGCUUAGUGUUGGGAGACUGCCUAAUACGCAGCUCCUCAAAACCAGUGGCGGAGUCUGUUCGUGCUCUGAGCGUAGUAAUUUUUUAUCUCGCUUCUGCAAGCCGGCCAGACGACAGCCAUAAACCGCACCCUCUCGGGGGGCACUUUUUUAAUGGUUGACCUCGGAUCAGGUAGGAAUACCCGCUGAACUUAAGCAUAUCAAUAAGCGGAGGAAAAGAAACCAACAGGGAUUGCCCUAGUAACGGCGAGUGAAGCGGCAACAGCUCAAAUUUGAAAUCUGGCCUUCUGGUCCGAAUUGUAAUUUGGUAGAGGAUGCUUUUUGGUUAGGUACCCUUUUCGAGUUCCUUG
rnacentral:rRNA from 1 species